AGAGUUUGAUUAUGGCUCAGGAUGAACGCUGGCGGCGUGCUUAACACAUGCAAGUCGAACGAAGAUAUUAAGAUGAAGGCUUCGGUCUGAUUUUUAUAUUCUUAGUGGCGGACGGGUGAGUAACGCGUGGGCAACCUGCCCUUUACUGGGGAAUAAUCAUUGGAAACGAUGACUAAUACCGCAUGUCACCGAGAUAUGGCAUCUUAUUUCGGAAAAAGGAGCAAUCCGGUAAAGGAUGGGCCCGCGUCUGAUUAGCUUGUUGGUGGGGUAACGGCCUACCAAGGCGACGAUCAGUAGCCGACCUGAGAGGGUGAUCGGCCACAUUGGGACUGAGACACGGCCCAAACUCCUACGGGAGGCAGCAGUGGGGAAUAUUGCACAAUGGGGGAAACCCUGAUUGCAGCAACGCCGCGUGAAGGAAGAAGGUUUUCGGAUCGUAAACUUCUAUCAACAGGGACGAAGAAAGUGACGGUACCUGAAUAAGAAGCCCCGGCUAACUACGUGCCAGCAGCUGC
rnacentral:rRNA from 1 species